AUGCGCGAGCACGGACGGUGGGGCCUCAACGGCCGUCAGGCGGCGGAGGGGCCUGUCAUGGCGGCCUCUAGGGUCAGUUAUAGGAAUCCUGAGGAUGAACUGACCCUUUUAUUCACUAUUCCACGUGGAGCUGCAAACCCAUCAGAGGGAACCAUGUGAUCAUUGUAGCCACCAGCUGACCCCACAGCCACCUUGUGCCUCCCUUGGACCCACCCAAGAAUUUCUGAGCCUUCUUUCUGAGGGAAUUGAUCUGUGUGUAGCUGUAUAUUCAGUGCAUCCAUGGAAGGAGGGAAAUUCAGGAGUCUCUUCUGUGUCCAUCUUGAGUGAUUCAGCAGGGAGAACAUGAGGUGCGCCCACAAGGACAGAGAAGAAAGAGGAAACCUGAAGACCAGCAGACAAGUGAUGAAAGAUGGUAAAACCUGGGUAUGAGGAAUCCAAAAAUGGCGAAGAUGACUCAGGACACAGGAAAGGGGUGGGUGAAAAGUCACUUAACGCUUUUGUGGAAAUCUAUUUUUAAAAAUGAGUUUUCUAUUUGUCCAAUCUCAAGAUAGUGUGGGUUCAGAAGUUUAUCUGUAUUUCAUGAAAUUCCAGAGUGAAUGUUUAACAUCCAGGCCAUGAGGCUGUGUGCACGCUGGUUAUCUUCUUUACUACUUGGGAUGAAUUUCUGGCCUUUCAUACUAUUGUUUUGCCUUUAUAAAAUGGACAUGAUGACAUUUUUCAGAUUUGCUUAAAGUUUAAGCUUUCUGAGCAACGAUUGUGGGCUACUUGUUUAAAGGCUGUUUGAGUGGUAAACAUGCCUUAGAAGGUAGAGAUUGGCUACCUCCCUGGAGGGACUUAGAGGCUGUCCCCUCCCUGUCAGGGGCAU